AGCAUCUAAGCACGAAACUUGCCCCGAGAUGAGUUCUCCCUGAGACUAUAAGUCUCCUGAAGGAACGUUAAAGACGAUGACGUUGAUAGGCCGGGUGUGUAAGCGCAGCGAUGCGUUGAGCUAACCGGUACUAAUGAACCGUGAGGCUUAACCUUAC
rnacentral:rRNA from 1 species